GAUUCAAAUGCAGGAUUCCUGGUGCAUGGCCAUGCAGUCUCGCUGAAACAGUGAACUCAAAGUUCAGUGAGAGACAGUUUCAGGAAACAAAAUGGAUAUUGAAAGUUAUCUGACAUCACCUUUUGGCUACCUCCACAUAUAAAUGGGCACCAGGAAUGUGCAAUAAAUAUGACUGGCUGACAGACUGCAGUAUUGGGAGAUGUGAAUAAAGUCAAGGAGAAUGGAAGCUGGUACCCUGACAUCUCUACAGACUGACUUCACUUGGAAAAAAACUCUCUGGAAAAGCAUACUGUACACUACUCAUCAAAGAGUUUCUU